GUUCGAAGAAGCGUGAGUCUGUAUGAAGGGGGUGGGGGCCUAUUUAAUUUUUUUUUUGUAUGUCGUUUGCUGAAUAAUUCAUAUUUAAGAAGUAGGACUAUUAGCAUGCUCCAGAUAUACUGUUUGUCUGUUUGCUAACAUUCUUCAUUCAAGACUUGUUAACUGCCAGACGAGCUUAACACGCUUCUUGCUCUGCCUCCCUGCCUCUCCGUCUUUCUGAUGUCUUUUAUGCCAGCCCUCAAAGCCUUCUGUCGUUGCUGGGUGCUAGUAGCCAAGGGGUAGUGGUGGCAGGGGGAACGCACACUGCCGAGGAUCUCAUGCUAGCUGCUAGGAGGCUGCAAGGUGAACACAUUUGGGCUGGUGUGCCCUCCUCCUCCUCCUCCGUCCGAUGCUCCAGGAGGCUUCCCACCUUCACAUGGGUCACAUUGACGAUGAGACCUCAGAGGACCACAGAGGAGUGUGCAGAAAUCUGCAACCGAGUGAACUCCAGAUAUCUCAUGACUGACCGUGAAUGACGUUUGGAAAAAUUUAUCUGGUCUAAUAUAGGCGAUGUACAUUGGAAAACAGUGUGGUAAGCUAGCCCUGCAUGGUAAGUAUAAUAUUCCCUUUUUGGGACCCACACACUCCUUUUCUUUCAGAUUUUGAUAGGAUUCAACUAAUUCAGAUGGGCAAAUACAGGCCAGGACGCAGAGAUCAGUGUCUUCCAAUUAUUGAUGUAUAAGUGAUUUUUCUGAUCAUUUUGAACUGCUGUUAACAACUACAAAUGUGGCGUGAUUAUUAGAAAUUAUCUAUUAAUUAUAUUACACCCGAGAGUAAAUGUCAGAAGUGGGGUACGCAGGGUCUCUUCAUAAAUCCACUGAACAGGGCGCAUUUCAGAAUUAAAUAUUAUAUAUUACACAAAUAACAUACAUACAUAUGACACACAUAGGACUCUAGAAUAUGGCCUAAUUUGCUACAGGGGGUUUAACGGCCGGCACUCGUAAUUCAGUAGAGGUGCCACUGUUUUCCCUUUUCCCCAUAAUCUCCCUAUGUUGUCUCAGAGCUCUACUUUCUGACUUGUUGGGGUUUCACAAACCUCUCCCAAUUCAACAGCAUGUGGGGAUGGUCUAGUGGCAAGGGGUGUGACAUCAUUAAUAUUAGAUAUGGCAUCACUGGUGCCGUAACCAGGUCUUGAAAGGAGGGAUAAUAUCAUAUACAUUCAUACUCCUGUGCUAGGAACAACUGAUAAAAUAUAAGGUUUAUUUUAUUAUUUGUAAUGUCUAUUUUUAUAGCUCCCCUAUAUUAAACAGCUCUGCAGAGCAGCAAUUAGGGGGGUCUUCAGGGACUGGAGUCCCGGGCCCUUACAGAAAGGGGGCCCACCAUUCAUGCAGGUCUGCAAUGCUCCACCUGUAUGUAACGUCACAAUGUGUGACAUCACAUAGGGGUGGAGUGUUGCGGGGUAAGGGUGGGGGGAUGUCUGUUUGUCACUCCCAGGCCCCACAAUUUCUGAUGGCAGCCCUACAGCUUUGAAUAUUUCAUCAUUUACAUCAGUCCUUGUCCCAUUGGAGCUCCCUGGCUAAAUUAUUUGUCAUAUACAGUAAAUACAUGCACAGUAUUAGGGACAUGUAUCAAGCGUGAGACAGAGGUAAAGUGCAGAAGUUGCUGACAGCAACCAAUCAGCUUAUAGCUAUCCUACUGUGUCUAGUACUAUCUAUAAAAUGCCAACUGGUUGCUGAUUGGUAGCUAAAGGAGAAACGCGUCAGCAGUUGCAUGUCCUGCUCUGUAAUAUAUGUUGCCAAAUUAUGUAUUCAUCCUAUGUAAGAAUAACCUCUACAUUUUAUAUUUUGUUUCCAAAACGCAUGUUCUCAAGAGCUGACUCUCUACCCGAGGCUGACUGUCCUUUGGGGUGAGGUAGUAGGUUGUUUAGUUUUGGGGUCUAUCCCUGAGUGUCAGAUAACUAUACAAUCUACUGUCUUUCCUGAAGUGGCUGUGAUUUCUUCAAUGGAGGAACAAGACUAUCGUUCGUUCUUGAUGUACGCAAUGCGUCGCUGUCUAAUGGAAGUGGAACUCUUUCUAUUAACCAUGUGCUCUACGACGCAUUGUCCUGUUAUUCCCCAGUACGACGCGCAGUUGCAAGAUGGAGAAAUUAUGAUUGCAAACUAAUAUCAAAGUCUUAUUGUCAAUUAUUCGUGUUUCUCUCCGGAAGUAAAACAUUGCAGUUAUUCCUCUUUACAAAGCACGGAUGUGAUUUCUGCAUUCUCUGAGAUUACCUAGGAACUGAGUAGUGUUCCCAGUAGAUUAUCUAGGAGCUAAGGUCUAUCCGCAGAGGUUUAAGGUGAGUGAUUCAGUGCUGCCGAUUCCCCAGACGUUUGUUAAAGUCUUAUCUCUCUCUCUCGAGCUGUCUCAGCGGGGUGAGGUAGUAGGUUGUGUGGUUUCAGGGUAGUGUUUUUUUGUUGCCCCAAUCAGGAGUUAACUAUACAACCUACUGCCUUCCCUGACGGGCAGCAUGGCGUCCAAACACCCCCCUCCCCUCCCCCUCCUUACAAGCCUAAUGUCGCUUUUCUAUAGAAAACCACAAGUAUGUAACACCAAAACAUUAUAACGCCCCUGGCAGUGGCCACUCGAUAAUGCAUUUUGUAUUAUGUCAGCUCAGUGUGAUUACAAGCCGUGUAUUUUGUUUGGAAGCCGCUUACUGUUUCCCUCUGUGCAGUUAAGAAAAAAUAAAAAUCAAUAAAGAUAUGAAAUUUUGAAAAUA